AAAAAAGGUAAGCUACUAAGAGCGAAUGGUGGAUGCCUUGACUGGUAAAGGCGAUGAAGGACGUACUAGACUGCGAUAAGCUACGGGGAGCUGUCAAGAAGCUUUGAUCCGUAGAUUUCCGAAUGGGGCAACCCAAUGUAUAGAGAUAUACAUUACCUAUAUAGGAGCGAACGAGGGGAAUUGAAACAUCUUAGUACCCUCAGGAAAAGAAAUCAAUAGAGAUUGCGUCAGUAGCGGCGAGCGAAAGCGCAAGAGGGCAAACCCAGUGCUUGCACUGGGGGUUGUAGGACUGCAAUGUGCAAGAGGUGAGUUUAGCAGAACAUUCUGGAAAGUAUAGCCAUAGAGGGUGAUAGUCCCGUAUGCGAAAAACAAACCUUAGCUAGCAGUAUCCUGAGUAGGGCGGGACACGAGAAAUCCUGUCUGAAGCUGGGUCGACCACGAUCCAACCCUAAAUACUAAUACCAGAUCGAUAGUGCACAAGUACCGUGAGGGAAAGGUGAAAAGAACUGAGGUGAUCAGAGUGAAAUAGAACCUGAAACCAUUUGCUUACAAUCAUUCAGAGCCCUAUGUAGCAAUACAGGGUGAUGGACUGCCUUUUGCAUAAUGAGCCUGCGAGUUGUGGUGUCUGGCAAGGUUAAGCAAACGCGAAGCCGUAGCGAAAGCGAGUCUGAAUAGGGCGCUUAGUCAGAUGCUGCAGACCCGAAACGAAGUGAUCUAUCCAUGAGCAAGUUGAAGCUAGUGUAAGAACUAGUGGAGGACUGAACCCAUAGGCGUUGAAAAGCCCCGGGAUGACUUGUGGAUAGGGGUGAAAGGCCAAUCAAACUUCGUGAUAGCUGGUUCUCUCCGAAAUAUAUUUAGGUAUAGCGUUGUGUCGUAAUAUAAGGGGGUAGAGCACUGAAUGGGCUAGGGCAUACACCAAUGUACCAAACCCUAUCAAACUCCGAAUACCUUAUAUGUAAUCACAGCAGUCAGGCGGCGAGUGAUAAAAUCCGUCGUCAAGAGGGAAACAACCCAGACUACCAGCUAAGGUCCCUAAAUCUUACUUAAGUGGAAAACGAUGUGAAGUUACUUAAACAACCAGGAGGUUGGCUUAGAAGCAGCCAUCCUUUAAAGAAAGCGUAAUAGCUCACUGGUCUAGUGAUUUUGCGCGGAAAAUAUAACGGGGCUAAAGUAAGUACCGAAGCUGUAGACUUGCGCACAACUUAGAUUAUUUAAGUUUAGAAUAUGAGAAACUAAGUUAUAUGUUUAGUUAUAUUUUUACUGAUUUUUAUAGAGUAAAGAUAGAAAUAAAACUUAGUAAAAUCAGUAAAAAUAUUCUUAGACUAAAGUUAAGUAGUUUAAGUUGUGUGCAAGUGGUAGGAGAGCGUUCUAUUUGCGUCGAAGGUAUACCGGUAAGGAGUGCUGGAGCGAAUAGAAGUGAGCAUGCAGGCAUGAGUAGCGAUAAUUAAUGUGAGAAUCAUUAACGCCGUAAACCCAAGGUUUCCUACGCGAUGCUCGUCAUCGUAGGGUUAGUCGGGUCCUAAGUCGAGUCCGAAAGGGGUAGACGAUGGCAAAUUGGUUAAUAUUCCAAUACCAACAUUAGUGUGCGAUGGAAGGACGCUUAGGGCUAAGGGGGCUAGCGGAUGGAAGUGCUAGUCUAAGGUCGUAGGAGGUUAUACAGGCAAAUCCGUAUAACAAUACUCCGAGAACUGAAAGGCUUUUUGAAGUCUUCGGAUGGAUAGAAGAACCCCUGAUGCCGUCGAGCCAAGAAAAGUUUCUAAGUUUAGCUAAUGUUGCCCGUACCGUAAACCGACACAGGUGGGUGGGAUGAGUAUUCUAAGGCGCGU
rnacentral:rRNA from 1 species